ACAGGUGCAGGGAUUGAGUCAUAAGGUGCACCAUUUAAAUCUCUUACUAGUUAUUCUUCUUGCUUAUCUGUUUUUGUUAUUAUAUUAGGACUCAUUGUUCAGAAAAAGUAGAUGGUUGGAACUUAUAAUUUCGCUAGGCUUGAAUCAAAUAUUAUGUUGUGCUGGUUUUAUUGGACACAAUCGCAUUAUCUAAGUGCAUAACUUUUCUCAUCUCACCUCCAUUCUAAUUCUAAUGGCGAAGCGCAGGUAAUUUAUUAAACUAGCUGACCAAAGGAAGCUCGUCAUUGCAGGAAGAGCAGGUGCUGCAAACUGAGAGUAAAUGGCAGGAGAGGAUAAUGGCAUAGGAAACAAUCUGUCCUCCAGAAGUCCUACGACCAAGCAUGGAUUGCGCAUUAUAAAGAGCGAGACUAUGUAGUCACCAAAAUAUUCACUCUGAAUUCUCUAAUAUGUAUUCUUACUGCGCCGUCAGGAGAAAAUCAGGAUAUUUAACUGAGUAUGGUUUCAUGAUGAUUUCUCCAUCAGCUGUGUCGGGGUCGAUAUGUUUGAUUUGCAGGUCUCCACAGUGCAUCUAUCAAUGACCAUUUCCUCCGGCAUGAACUUCUCCAAGUGAGAACGUGAUAUCCAGCUCACACUGCAUUUA
rnacentral:lncRNA from 1 species